GGCCUUCCCACAGGGUUUUGUGGAGGUGUGGGUGGGUAACAACUUUAAAACUAUCAGAAAAUAAAGUGCUUUUUCAAACAACGACUUCAUCAGCAACAUAGUAGGCCAGAAAGAGCCUGCACGGCCUGACUUUUGUCUUUCAUCACCUUUUCCUUUUGUUCAGCUGCUUUUCAUCUGGCUUCUGCGAGGUUGCUGGGCUCUUUAAAACAGCACGUGCAGAUAUUGUUUUGGAUUUUAAAGUAAUUUUUUUUCCAGGACCACUCAGAGGUACCUAUCCCAAAUUACGUGUCACUGUUUGGGCAGAUAUGAGCUUUCUCUGUGUGUUUUCUUCUUUCAGGUGGAGAGCUGGGCUGGUCUGUGUCCUGCUCUUGGGUGGAGGUGCCCUUCUCAGGCUUGUACUUCCACACUUGUUGUAAAUCCAUUCAGACUGUGUAUUUAAGUACCAGCUGUGGCUUUUAUUCUCUGCCAAUUUGUCACAUCCACAGUGAUGGAGACUUGGCUCACUCAGUCUUGAGUUGGCUUCCCUGUGUUUCUGCCUUUAACCCCAGGUUAAAGCCUGAAGCUUGUUACCUGUUCUUGAGAAAAUCACCCUGUGUACACUGGAGGAGUCAGGAGCUCACAGCUGGUCUCAAACCUUUGUCACUCUCACAGUCCAGUGGAUUCAUCGACUGCACUGCCACUCGCCAGCCUGCCCAUUCUCCGUGGAUACCUAAUUGCUCACACCGCAUGUCCACCUGCUCACCGAUACUUCUACCUUAAGCUCUUCUCACCUGCACUCACAAAUAAGCCCUCAGCUACAAUCUAUUAGAGUCGCCACCCGGGUUCACCAGUAGUGUUUGGGUCACACCCAUUUUUCCCACAGUCCAUCACUGCUCAACACUCAUUGGAAAUAAACCUUUAAAGACUUUCAACUGUCUUCUCUUUGGCUCUGAAAGUACUUUAUUCUUUGCCAACAACAGCCCUGAGAGACUCCUGGUGGUGGCAAUACACAUAAAGGUUCAGGCCAGCCAAAAAUAUUAGCUGGUGGACCAUCGAGACGAG
ensembl:lncRNA